UUAAGCGACUAAGCGUACACGGUGGAUGCCCUGGCAGUCAGAGGCGAUGAAGGACGUGCUAAUCUGCGAUAAGCGUCGGUAAGGUGAUAUGAACCGUUAUAACCGGCGAUUUCCGAAUGGGGAAACCCAGUGUGAUUCGUCACACUAUCAUUAACUGAAUCCAUAGGUUAAUGAGGCGAACCGGGGAACUGAAACAUCUAAGUACCCCGAGGAAAAGAAAUCAACCGAGAUUCCCCCAGUAGCGGCGAGCGAACGGGGAGGAGCCCAGAGCCUGAAUCAGUGUGUGUGUUAGUGGAAGCGUCUGGAAAGGCGCGCGAUACAGGGUGACAGCCCCGUACACAAAAAUGCACAUGCUGUGAGCUCGAUGAGUAGGGCGGGACACGUGGUAUCCUGUCUGAAUAUGGGGGGACCAUCCUCCAAGGCUAAAUACUCCUGACUGACCGAUAGUGAACCAGUACCGUGAGGGAAAGGCGAAAAGAACCCCGGCGAGGGGAGUGAAAAAGAACCUGAAACCGUGUACGUACAAGCAGUGGGAGCCUCUUUAUGGGGUGACUGCGUACCUUUUGUAUAAUGGGUCAGCGACUUAUAUUCUGUAGCAAGGUUAACCGAAUAGGGGAGCCGAAGGGAAACCGAGUCUUAACUGGGCGUUAAGUUGCAGGGUAUAGACCCGAAACCCGGUGAUCUAGCCAUGGGCAGGUUGAAGGUUGGGUAACACUAACUGGAGGACCGAACCGACUAAUGUUGAAAAAUUAGCGGAUGACUUGUGGCUGGGGGUGAAAGGCCAAUCAAACCGGGAGAUAGCUGGUUCUCCCCGAAAGCUAUUUAGGUAGCGCCUCGUGAAUUCAUCUCCGGGGGUAGAGCACUGUUUCGGCAAGGGGGUCAUCCCGACUUACCAACCCGAUGCAAACUGCGAAUACCGGAGAAUGUUAUCACGGGAGACACACGGCGGGUGCUAACGUCCGUCGUGAAGAGGGAAACAACCCAGACCGCCAGCUAAGGUCCCAAAGUCAUGGUUAAGUGGGAAACGAUGUGGGAAGGCCCAGACAGCCAGGAUGUUGGCUUAGAAGCAGCCAUCAUUUAAAGAAAGCGUAAUAGCUCACUGGUCGAGUCGGCCUGCGCGGAAGAUGUAACGGGGCUAAACCAUGCACCGAAGCUGCGGCAGCGACGCUUAUGCGUUGUUGGGUAGGGGAGCGUUCUGUAAGCCUGCGAAGGUGUGCUGUGAGGAUGCUGGAGGUAUCAGAAGUGCGAAUGCUGACAUAAGUAACGAUAAAGCGGGUGAAAAGCCCGCUCGCCGGAAGACCAAGGGUUCCUGUCCAACGUUAAUCGGGGCAGGGUGAGUCGACCCCUAAGGCGAGGCCGAAAGGCGUAGUCGAUGGGAAACAGGUUAAUAUUCCUGUACUUGGUGUUACUGCGAAGGGGGGACGGAGAAGGCUAUGUUGGCCGGGCGACGGUUGUCCCGGUUUAAGCGUGUAGGCUGGUUUUCCAGGCAAAUCCGGAAAAUCAAGGCUGAGGCGUGAUGACGAGGCACUACGGUGCUGAAGCAACAAAUGCCCUGCUUCCAGGAAAAGCCUCUAAGCAUCAGGUAACAUCAAAUCGUACCCCAAACCGACACAGGUGGUCAGGUAGAGAAUACCAAGGCGCUUGAGAGAACUCGGGUGAAGGAACUAGGCAAAAUGGUGCCGUAACUUCGGGAGAAGGCACGCUGAUAUGUAGGUGAAGCGACUUGCUCGUGGAGCUGAAAUCAGUCGAAGAUACCAGCUGGCUGCAACUGUUUAUUAAAAACACAGCACUGUGCAAACACGAAAGUGGACGUAUACGGUGUGACGCCUGCCCGGUGCCGGAAGGUUAAUUGAUGGGGUUAGCGGUAACGCGAAGCUCUUGAUCGAAGCCCCGGUAAACGGCGGCCGUAACUAUAACGGUCCUAAGGUAGCGAAAUUCCUUGUCGGGUAAGUUCCGACCUGCACGAAUGGCGUAAUGAUGGCCAGGCUGUCUCCACCCGAGACUCAGUGAAAUUGAACUCGCUGUGAAGAUGCAGUGUACCCGCGGCAAGACGGAAAGACCCCGUGAACCUUUACUAUAGCUUGACACUGAACAUUGAGCCUUGAUGUGUAGGAUAGGUGGGAGGCUUUGAAGUGUGGACGCCAGUCUGCAUGGAGCCGACCUUGAAAUACCACCCUUUAAUGUUUGAUGUUCUAACGUUGGCCCCUAAUCGGGGUUGCGGACAGUGUCUGGUGGGUAGUUUGACUGGGGCGGUCUCCUCCUAAAGAGUAACGGAGGAGCACGAAGGUUGGCUAAUCCUGGUCGGACAUCAGGAGGUUAGUGCAAUGGCAUAAGCCAGCUUGACUGCGAGCGUGACGGCGCGAGCAGGUGCGAAAGCAGGUCAUAGUGAUCCGGUGGUUCUGAAUGGAAGGGCCAUCGCUCAACGGAUAAAAGGUACUCCGGGGAUAACAGGCUGAUACCGCCCAAGAGUUCAUAUCGACGGCGGUGUUUGGCACCUCGAUGUCGGCUCAUCACAUCCUGGGGCUGAAGUAGGUCCCAAGGGUAUGGCUGUUCGCCAUUUAAAGUGGUACGCGAGCUGGGUUUAGAACGUCGUGAGACAGUUCGGUCCCUAUCUGCCGUGGGCGCUGGAGAACUGAGGGGGGCUGCUCCUAGUACGAGAGGACCGGAGUGGACGCAUCACUGGUGUUCGGGUUGUCAUGCCAAUGGCACUGCCCGGUAGCUAAAUGCGGAAGAGAUAAGUGCUGAAAGCAUCUAAGCACGAAACUUGCCCCGAGAUGAGUUCUCCCUGACUCCCUGAGAGUCCUGAAGGAACGUUGAAGACGACGACGUUGAUAGGCCGGGUGUGUAAGCGCAGCGAUGCGUUGAGCUAACCGGUACUAAUGAACCGUGAGGCUUAACCUU
rnacentral:rRNA from 1 species